CCAGCAGCCGCGGUAAUACGGAGGAUGCAAGUGUUAUCCGGAAUCACUGGGCGUAAAGCGUCUGUAGGUGGUUUAAUGUGUCUGUUGUUAAAUCUUAAGGCUCAACCUUAAACCAGCAAUGGAAACUAUUAUGACUUGAGUGUGGUAGAGGUAGAGGGAAUUUCCAGUGGAGCGGUGAAAUGCGUAGAUAUUGGAAAGACCACCAAUGGCGAAGGCACUCUACUGGGCCAUUACUGACACUGAGAGACGAAAGCUAGGGGAGCAAAUGGGAUUAGAUACCCCAGUAGUCCUAGCUGUAAACGAUGGAUACUAGAUGUCGCAUGUAUCGACCCAUGCGGUAUUAUAGCUAACGCGUUAAG
rnacentral:rRNA from 14 species